GAAACUUAAAGGAAUUGACGGGGCCGCACAAGCGGUGGAGCAUGUGGUUAAUUCGACGCAACGCGAAGAACCUUACCAGGGCUUGACAUCCCCUGACCGCGUAUGAAAGUACGUUUUCACCCUCGGGUGACAGGGAGACAGGUGGUGCAUGGUUGUCGUCAGCUCGUGUCGUGAGAUGUUGGGUUAAGUCCCGCAACGAGCGCAACCCCUACGUUUAGUUGCUAACGCGUGAAGGCGAGCACUCUAGACGAACUGCCGUUGACAAAACGGAGGAAGGUGGGGAUGACGUCAAAUCAUCAUGCCCCUUAUGUUCUGGGCUACACACGUGCUACAAUGGCCGGUACAGACGGACGCAAAGCCGCGAGGUGGAGCAAAUCCUAAAAAGCCGGUCUCAGUUCGGAUUGCAGGCUGCAAUUCGCCUGCAUGAAGUCGGAAUCGCUAGUAAUCGCAGGUCAGCAUACUGCGGUGAAUACGUUCCCGGGCCUU
rnacentral:rRNA from 1 species